UGGGGAAUCUUCCGCAAUGGACGAAAGUCUGACGGAGCAACGCCGCGUGAGUGAAGAAGGUUUUCGGAUCGUAAAACUCUGUCUUUUGGGGCGAACGUGAGUAUGGUGAACAAUCAUAGUCAGUGACGGUACCAAAGGAGGAAGCCACGGCUAACUACGUGCCAGCAGCCGCGGUAAUACGUAGGUGGCAAGCGUUGUCCGGAAUUAUUGGGCGUAAAGAGCGCGUAGGCGGGAUAGUCAGUCUGUUGUAAAAGUGCGGGGCUCAACCCCGUGAUCGCAAUGGAAACAGCUAUUCUUGAGUGCAGGAGAGGAAAGUGGAAUUCCCAGUGUAGCGGUGAAAUGCGUAGAUAUUGGGAGGAACACCAGUGGCGAAGGCGACUUUCUGGACUGUGUCUGACGCUGAGGCGCGAAAGCCAGGGGAGGCGAACGGGAUUUAGAUACCCCGGUAGUCCUGGCCGUAAACGAUGGGUACUAGGUGUGGGAGGUAUCGACCCCUUCCGUGCCGGAGUUAACGCAAUAAGUACCCCGCCUGGGGAGUACGGUCGCAAGACUGAAACUCAAAUGAAUUGACGGGGUCAUAGCUGUUUCCUG
rnacentral:rRNA from 1 species